AUUAUUAUAGACCCGUUGUCAGUGGUCACCGCGUACGUGUGUAUAGAGGAUGAGGUCACAUAGGUACCCGUACCCGUCUUGCCUAGUCAUGGCGGAUCUCAAACUCUCUAUUACUUUGUACAGCGUCCAGUUUUACCUGAUAACAAUCACUUGACGGAUUUGCAUUGAAAACAAAUAGCUUUGUUCACGUACAACGAGUAACGAGAAGUUUAUUACGCUGAAUAGUAAUUUCGUUAAUCGGAGAUAAACCGACUAGGCUAUAGUCCAGUUGACUCGGGGCUGUGACAAAUGGAUAAAUGGUCAAAUGAUAGAUGGGGAGCCUGUUGGCUCCAUACAGAGCCCCAGUGUCAAAAGGACCAAAUAAUCAGUCAACCAGGGAGUCCAAGGAUGUCCUAUAAACACAGACGGGACAGCACAGACAUCCGUUCACGUGCUCGAGCCCAGAUGUCAACACAUCACGUGCAGUCCGCAGGCUGCAUGCUCACCAUGACCAGAGCUCGUGCUCACCUUUAACUGUGUGCAAGCUACGAAAAGACUUGUCAACAGGUGACAUCUGUGCAUCACCUCGCAGAGCUGCACAACUGUAAAGCAUCAAACUACACUUUCUAGCAAAGGUAACAGGUUUGGUAAACCAGCUUUUAAAACCAGCAGGCCAAGUGGUGGUCAGGUCAACCCAUAGGAGAGACACGGGGUGGCACGCGCCAGUUCCAGAAGAAAAAGAAAAACCAAAAAAGUAGGAAGAAGAAGAAAAAGAAAAAAUGCAAGAAGAAGAAAAAAAGCAGGAAGAAGAAGACAGAUGAGGUCAGGAUGGUAGUCACGGCAAUGACAGACCGCACAACCCUUCAUAUUCAGCAGCUGUCUGGUCACAGACAGCAGAGCUCGAGGCUGGUAGAUGAGCGUUGGUCCUUGUUAGGCGCUGUUAAGCUCUAGACAGCAGUGGGGCCUACAGUCGAGAAAGAAACGAGGUGGCACGUGGCGGUGCCAGACCGCACAACGCUUCAUCAUCAGCAUGUGUCUGGUCGCAGAUGGCAGAGCUCGAGGCUGGUAGAUGAGCGUUGGUCCUUGUUAGGCGCUGUUAAGCUCUAAACAGCAGUGGGGCCUACAGUCGAGAGAGAAACAAGGUGGCACGUGGCAGUGCCAGACCGCACAACGCUUCAUCAUCAGCAUCUGUCUGGUCGCAGACAGUAGAGCUCGAGGCUGGUAGAUGAGCGUUGGUCCUUGUUAGGCGCUGUUAUGCUCUAGACAGCAGUGGGGCCUACAGUCAAGAGAGAAACGAGGUGGCACGUGGCAGUGCCAGACCACAAAACGCUUCAUCAUCAGCAUGUGUCUGGGCGCAGACGGCAGAGCUGUGGCUGGUAGAUGAGCGUUGGUCCUUGUUAGGCGCUGUUAAGCUCUAGACAGCAGUGGGGCCUUAAUGUCGAGAGAGAAACAAGGUGGCACGUGGCAGUGCCAGACCGUACAACGCUUCAUCAUCAGCAUCUGUCUGGUCGCAGACAGGAGAGCUCGAGGCUGGUAGAUGAGCGUUGGUCUUUGUAAAGCGCUGUUAAGCUCUAGACAGCAGUGGGGUCUACAGUCGAGAAAGAAACGAGGUGGCACGUGGCAGUGCCAGACCGCACAACGCUUCAUCAUCAGCAUCUGUCUGGUCACAGACAGUAGAGCUCGAGGCUGAUAGAUGAGCGUUGGUCUUUGUUAGGCGCUGUUAAGCUCUAGACAGCAGUGGGGCCUACAGUUGAGAGAGAAACGAGGUGGCACGUGGCAGUGCCAGACCGCACAACGCUUCAUCAUCAGCAUCUGUCUGGUCACAGACAGUAGAGCUCGAGGCUGAUAGAUGAGCGUUGGUCUUUGUUAGGCACUGUUAAGCUCUAGACAGCAGUGGGGCCUACAGUGGAGAGAGAAACGAGGUGGCACAUGGAAGUGCCAGACCGCACAACGCUUCAUCAUCAGCAGCUGUCUGGUCGCAGACAGCAGAGCUGUGGCUGGUAGAUGAGCGUUGGUCUUUGUUAGGCGCUGUUAAGCUCUAGACAGCAGUGGGGCCUACAGUCGAGAAAGAAACGAGGUGGCACGUGGCAGUGCCAGACCGCACAACGCUUCAUCAUCAGCAUCUGUCUGGUCGCAGACAGUAGAGCUCGAGGCUGGUAGAUGAGCGUUGGUCCUUGUUAGGCGCUGUUAUGCUCUAGACAGCAGUGGGGCCUACAGUCAAGAGAGAAACGAGGUGGCACGUGGCAGUGCCAGACCGCACAACGCUUCAUCAUCAGCAUCUCUCUGGUCGCAGACAGCAGAGCUCGAGGCUGGUAGAUGAGCGUUGGUCUUUGUAAAGCGCUGUUAAGCUCUAGACAGCAGUGGGGCCUACAGUCGAGAAAGAAACGAGGUGGCACGUGGCAGUGCCAGACCGCACAACGCUUCAUCAUCAGCAUCUGUCUGGUCGCAGACAGCAGAGCUCGAGGCUGGUAGAUGAGCGUUGGUCCUUGUUAGGCGCUGUUAAGCUCUAGACAGCAGUGGGGCCUACAGUCGAGAGAGAAACGAGGUGGCACGUGGCAGUGCCAGACCGCACAACGCUUCAUCAUCAGCAUGUGUCUGGUCGCAGAUGGCAGAGCUCGAGGCUGGUAGAUGAGCGUUGGUCCUUGUUAGGCACUGUUAAGCUCUAGACAGCAGUGGGGCUUACAGUCGAGAGAGAAACGAAGUGGCACAUGGCAGUGCCAGACCGCACAACUCUUCAUCAUCAGCAGCUGUCUGGUCGCAGACAGCAGAGCUGUGGCUGGUAGAUGAGCGUUGGUCUUUGUUAGGCGCUGUUAAGCUCUAGACAGCAGUGGGGCCUACAGUCGAGAAAGAAACGAGGUGGCACAUGGCAGUGCCAGACCGCACAACGCUUCAUCAUCAGCAUCUGUCUGGUCGCAGACAGCAGAGCUCGAGGCUGGUAGAUGAGCGUUGGUCCUUGUUAGGCGCUGUUAAGCUCUAGACAGCAGUGGGGCCUACAGUCGAGAGAGAAACGAGGUGGCACGUGGCAGUGCCAGACCGCACAACGCUUCAUCAUCAGCAUGUGUCUGGUCGCAGAUGGCAGAGCUCGAGGCUGGUAGAUGAGCGUUGGUCCUUGUUAGGCACUGUUAAGCUCUAGACAGCAGUGGGGCUUACAGUCGAGAGAGAAACGAAGUGGCACAUGGCAGUGCCAGACCGCACAACUCUUCAUCAUCAGCAGCUGUCUGGUCGCAGACAGCAGAGCUGUGGCUGGUAGAUGAGCGUUGGUCUUUGUUAGGCGCUGUUAAGCUCUAGACAGCAGUGGGGCCUACAGUCGAGAAAGAAACGAGGUGGCACAUGGCAGUGCCAGACCGCACAACGCUUCAUCAUCAGCAUCUGUCUGGUCGCAGACAGCAGAGCUCGAGGCUGGUAGAUGAGCGUUGGUCUUUGUUAGGCGCUGUUAAGCUCUAGACAGCAGUGGGGCCUACAGUCGAGAGAGAAACGAGGUGGCACGUGGCAGUGCCAGACCGCACAACGCUUCAUCAUCAGCAUCUGUCUGGUCGCAGACAGUAGAGCUCGAGGCUGGUAGAUGAGCGUUGGUCUUUGUUAGUCACUGUUAAGCUCUAGACAGCAGUGGGGCCUACAGUCGAGAAAGAAACGAGGUGGCACGUGGCAGUGGCAGACCGCACAACGCUUCAUCAUCAGCAUCUGUCUGGUCGCAGACAGCAGAGCUGUGGCUGGUAGAUGAAUGAGCGUUGGUCCUUUUUAGGCGCUGUUAAGCUCUAGACAGCAGUGGGGCCUACAGUCGAGAGAGAAACAAGGUGGCACGUGGCAGUGCCAGACCGCACAACGCUUCAUCAUCAGCAUCUGUCUGGUCGCAGACAGUAGAGCUCGAGGCUGGUAGAUGAGCGUUGGUCCUUGUUAGGCGAUGUUAAGCUCUAGACAGCAGUGGGGCCUACAGUCGAGAGAGAAACGAGGUGGCACGUGGCAGUGCCAGACCACAAAACGCUUCAUCAUCAGCAUGUGUCUGGUCGCAGACGGCAGAGCUGUGGCUGGUAGAUGAGCGUUGGUCUUUGUUAGGCGCUGUUAAGCUCUAGACAGCAGUGGGGCCUACAGUGGAGAGAGAAACGAGGUGGCACGUGGCAGUGCCAGACCACAAAACGCUUCAUCAUCAGCAUGUGUCUGGUCGCAGACGGCAGAGCUGUGGCUGGUAGAUGAGCGUUGGUCUUUGUUAGGCGCUGUUAAGCUCUAGACAGCAGUGGGGCCUACAGUCGAGAAAGAAACGAGGUGGCACGUGGCAGUGCCAGACCGCACAACGCUUCAUCAUCAGCAUCUGUCUUGUCGCAGACAGUAGAGCUCGAGGCUGGUAGAUGAGCGUUGGUCCUUGUUAGGCGCUGUUAAGCUCUAGACAGCAGUCGGGGCCUACAGGAGCAGUACCAUUUGACCCAUUUUAUGAAAAAUAAUAAGAAAUAACGCAUGAGUUCACUAAUAUAGACGAAACCUUAGUUAAAUUUAGACUUUUAGAAAAGAACUUGACCGACAGACGAAACUGAACUGCGUUUUUGUGGUUUAUAGACAUUUAAUUAUUUGUACAGGCAUUGUGAUGAGCUUUACAUAAUAAGCUAGUCGUAAGCAGUCAAAACAUUUCAAUGGGAAUAGGUUUAAGAAAAGCGUAUUAAUAACUACAACUUUUGCAAGAUUUGAAUUUAGAUUGUGUUGUUAAAGGUUUUAUAAUGCAUUUAUCGCCUUCUUGAUGGAGCGAACUAGGCAGACGUGUGUGCGUAUUGACCAAGAUUAUAACAAGUAAAUAACCUUUCUGAAUAAGCAGUAUAAAAUCUGAAGCCAAGUGCUCAGCGAAAAUCACAGGAAAUACAGCAUAAAGUAUGACACAAACAUAAUCUAGUGGUAUUGUGUGACAAAGAGGGACAAGAAAUAUACGAAAUUGUUUCUCCUCACUACUCCUGGAAUUGUCAAAAUUCAGGAAGUGACGACAGAGAGCCGAUAGAGGGACUGCACUCCUUCUUUGUCCUUACGAGUUAAGAAAAGUUGCGUCCCUUCGAAACGUGACACUACCAGAGUACAGCCUUGAUGUAUAUCUACCCGUUCUGGUGACGGUAUAUCUUAACAUAUAGUGUCGUCUGCAUGAGCUGACCGAAAAAAAAAAGCAAACCAAUCCUUCAUAAAAGAAAAAAUGCAAGGACACGAUGUGAUGUUGUCUAGUGUUUGCUUAUACAGUCAUAUUUGAUGCUGUUGAUACCUCAAUCUCAUAACCGUUCUUCCGUGCAGGGCCGUGCUUAGGGGCAGGCAGACGAGGCAUCUGCCUAGGGCCCCGCACAUUUCAUUAAAUAACAACCGUGGCGAUCGUGGUGUCAACGGCCCCGCACAUACCCUAUGCCUCGGGCCCCGCGGGGGGUAAGAACGGACCUGCUUCCGUGUUCAAAGAAGUUUUUCUACUUUACGAGCAGCAGUGCCUGUAGCGAGACGGAGAAGUAUUCAAAGGAAAGUUUCGUACACCCGACUAUCGCAGUCUGCAAAGAGAAAUGUUUGUUACGGUCAAGUAUGGAGAGGAACAGUGCCGCAUCUUUAACGCCAUCUGCCGGAACGACCUUCUUUUGGACUCCAUCAGGUCACAAUGCCAGUGUGACCAGAACGUGGUGGUGGACCUGUCGGAUGAGCGCGGGGAGGUGAAGAACCUGCGCUGCUUCCCAACAUCUUACGGCUCGGACUUUCUCAAGGAGCGGGAGACGCUGGUUCUUCUCAGAGUCGACAAUGAUGUGCAUAAGGAGACGCCUUUUUUCACACCACUUCUGAACAGUCUUUUACGCGACCAAAAGUUCCUGGAUGCGAUAAACGCUCAAACUGAAGCGGAGGACAGUCGUGAUCACCGAAGCAGAGUGAAGCCCUGCGUUAGUCCAGACCUUGUUUUUGCACCAGUUAACAAGAAACCUAAAGCUCCAAAACCUACAAGAAUGCCCGUUAAGAAAUGACGCGUCAUCACACGACAUCAGUGUGGGCAUCGUUCAGCCAACGUUCGCUAGUGCUAAUCACAAAGCCAGAUCGUGCCCAAAGGGUUAAGCUGAUACAGUGGCACAGCAAUGUGGGAUCAAGUCCAGAUGUAAGGAAAUAUUCUACGCCCGAGGAGGUCUGAUAAGAGCAAAGUCAUAGUCAUUGGCAACGGCAAAGCGGAGAGGAGCCCCCUCUCCAAGGACGGCAGCCCCACGACGGAUAUCCGCAUCAGGAUCUUAGCAGCAACGGCGGCCAUGGCAAGGUUGGACAGAGUCUGGCGCAGGCAUAACUUCAGAUUUACUACAAAGUACAAUCUGUACAGGUCCCUGGUUAUACUUAUCCUGCUUUACAGAAAAAAGUGACUAUACUUGCCGAUACGGAGAGAAGAAUCCAGGCAUUCAAGAACAAGCUUGAUGAGACUGCUCUGGAUCUCAUACACAGAACAUUAAACUAAUGACGUUGUACGAAGUACGGUUGCCACACUCAUUAAAAACCAGGAAUGUCUACUUGAACAGUCAAGCAGUGUAAGCUGGUGUAGUUUGGCCAUGUGACCCGACACGACACCUUGUGGCAGACUGUCCUUCAAGGUACCUAGGAGGGAGGUCGACGCCUCGGUGACCAGAGGAAAAACAAAACUCGCUUGCGAACGUCAAAGACGCAGCAUCAUCAGUGCUAGCACCGACACAUCGCAUCAAAUCAACUUUGUUACUCAGUAUGUAGUUGUUCAGUAUAUCGAAAAUGUUUUCUCCAGUUGUAUUGGUCGCUACAGACUUGCAAAAGAGAAAGUCAUUAUGAACAGCACCUAAGUGUUCAUACCUCAAAAAUGUCGGAAGGUUUUCUUCGUUGGCUAUGUCAGUAGACUCAUCAAGAUGAAGCCCGAAGUACUGACCUUGACUCAGUCUUGAUAACAGCUGACAUUCCACACAUUCAGCCAUGGCUUUUAUUCGAAUUUUCAGCCAGCGAUCUAUAAUAACCCUUCGGACUUUUAAAUACUGUUAAGCUACAUGCAUUUCUAAAGUAAGAUAUUAACUAAGUUAAUUCUUAUUGCGAGGAAGCAAAAUAUCUCAGUCAUUGUAAAAGGAUCAUCAAACAUCGAUUUCCGCCAGAAGACGCAAAUUAAAUUAGACGUAAGCAGCGUGACGUCACAAAUGA
rnacentral:misc_RNA from 1 species